rnacentral:rRNA from 1 species
CCUACGGGUGGCAGCAGUGGGGAAUAUUGCACAAUGGGGGAAACCCUGAUGCAGCGACGCCGCGUGAGUGAAGAAGUAAUUCGGUAUGUAAAGCUCUAUCAGCAGGGAAGAAAAUGACGGUACCUGAGUAAGAAGCCCCGGCUAACUACGUGCCAGCAGCCGCGGUAAUACGGAGGGGGCAAGCGUUAUCCGGAUUUACUGGGUGUAAAGGGAGCGUAGACGGCAGUGCAAGUCUGGAGUGAAAGGCGGGGGCUCAACCCCCGGACUGCUCUGGAAACUGUACGGCUGGAGUGCAGGAGAGGUAAGUGGACUUCCUCGUGUAGCGGUGAAAUGCGUAGAUAUUAGGUGGAACACCAGUGGCGAAGGCGGCUUACUGGACUGUAACUGCCGUUGAGGCUCGAAAGCGUGGGGAGCAAACAGGAUUAGAUACCCGAGUAGUC